rnacentral:lncRNA from 1 species
UGGGGGCACUUAUAUCUCCUCUGCGUAGUUGAUAGUUUGGGUACUGACGACAUGGCUGACAGUGUCAAAACCUUUCUCCAGGACCUUUCCAGGGGAGUCAAAGACUUCAUCUGGGAUAUUUGUACCAUCUCCAGCUAGACACUCCAAUCCAUCAAAAGAGGGGAGCAGCGUGGAAGAAGGGCAAGCAUUGUCCUGGCACAGAGAAUACCCCAGAGUAUAGAGUGGGAGCAAGAGAGUGAGCCAGCAAGUGUUAGUAGAAUUUUCCAGUGUUGCGCUUGGAGGGGUGGACUGCUCUGGUUCAGUCUACUCUUGCUUUAUCGGGUGUUUAUUCCUGGGCUUCAGUGAGUAACAGCGUGAAUUACUUAUGAUCCAUCACUGUGUGGAGAUGCUUGGUCAUGGCUGGAAUUUUUCCUCGUAUAAAUUUCCAGGCCUUUGGGUGCUCCCCUUGUACAUGCCUAGCAAAGUUGUGAAUGCCAUGUGGUUCCAAGAUACAGCUGACCUGGCAUUUGAAGCAUCAGGGAGGAAGCCUCACCCAUUCCCUAGUGUCCACAAAAUAACUGCUGACAUGCUCUCCAAUCUUUUGCUGCAGGCUCUUUUCCCCAUUCAAGGAAUGUCUGUGAGUCUCUUUCCCACCCACCUUGUUGGUCAGCUGGUUACUCUCCGGCGUUUGUCUCUUCUUGACUCAUUCUACUGCUUCAAAUAUGGUUGGUUCAGUAAAGGAAUUGAAAUGCACCAGCGGUUCCUCUAACACAGAGAGGAACUGGCUUUACUACUUUGGGUUUGGUUUUUUUGGCUUUUCUCACAGCAAUGCAGUCCUCAUAUAUUUUCCAUGGCUGCCUUUUCUCUAUCCUCUUUCCUUUAUUCAUUAUCAGUGCAAUGAGGCAAAGAUCCCCGGCCAAGCAUACCUCUUUGAGUUGCACCUCUCCUCCUUCGUGGUCUUCUUAAGCAACAGACUCUUCCACAAGACACUCUCACCUGCAGUCUGCCUUGAGCAGCUCAGCCUCUGCAGAGAAGUUCCCUUCACCACAUAUGUCUCUACCCAGAUUGAAGGCUACUGAAGGC